rnacentral:rRNA from 1 species
GUCUACAGCCAUGCCACCUUGAAAAAGCCCAAUGUCUAUCUCAGAAGCUAAAUAGGGUCAGGCCUGGUUAGUACGUGGAUGGGAGACUACCUAGGAAGACCAGGUGCUGUAGGCA